rnacentral:rRNA from 1 species
AACGAACGCUGGCGGCAGGCCUAACACAUGCAAGUCGAACGCUGCAGCAAUGCAGAGUGGCAGACGGGUGAGUAGCGCGUGGGAACCUUCCCAAUGGUACGGAAUAGCCCAGGGAAACUUGGGGUAAUACCGUAUAAGCCCCAUGGGGGAAAGAUUUAUCGCCAUUGGAUGGGCCCGCGUCGGAUUAGCUAGUUGGUGAGGUAACGGCUCGCCAAGGCGACGAUCCGUAGCUGGUUUGAGAGAAUGACCAGCCACACUGGGACUGAGACACGGCCUAGACUCCUACGGGAGGCAGCAGUGGGGAAUCUUGGACAAUGGGCGAAAGCCUGAUCCAGCCAUGCCGCGUGAGUGACGAAGGCCUUAGGGUUGUAAAGCUCUUUUGGCGGGGACGAUAAUGACGGUACCCGCAGAAUAAGUCCCGGCUAACUUCGUGCCAGCAGCCGCAGUAA